UUUAAUUUUAAUGUGUAAUUUCCUGUUUCAUAAGUUUGAAUAUUGUAAUUUACGGUAUAUCAUAUGCAUGUGUUACACCUUUUAGUCCUGAAAAACUUCAUUGCAACUUCAAAUACUGUCCUACCUUUUCUAUAUUGAUAUAGUCUUCCACGUUGUUGUUUUUUAAGAGUGCAUGUUUUUAGUUUUCGAUAAUGAACAGAAAGAUGUUGCUCUCCAGUUCUACUCUCAGACGAAGGGCUUGUGCAAAUGAAGACAGACUGCUCAGAAGAGUGACUGAAGAAAAUGAAAUGCAGAUGAUUACCUGAAGGCAAGACAGAAGUUAAGACUCCUUAACUUGCUCAACAUCAGAUUUGGAGUCAGAAAAGGAAGACGAUGUGACAAAGCCAAAGAGACAAAGGACGGCCAGAAUUCGGUUUGGCGACACUGAU